GACGAACGCUGGCGGCGUGCUUAACACAUGCAAGUCGAGUGGAGCGGCGAACGGGUGAGUCACGCGUGAGUAACUGCCCCCCUCUCUGGGAUAACAGUUGGACACGGCUGCUAAUACCGGAUAGUGGGGGAUGACUCGCGGCCUAUCCGCUUGUUGGUGGGGUAGUGGCCUACCACGGCGACGACGGGUCGCCGGCCUGAGAGGGCGACCGGCCACAGUGGGCUGGGGAACAACCCGAACGCCUACGGGAGGCAGCAGUGGGGAAUAGUGCACAAUGGGGGAAACGCUGAUGCAGCAACGCCGCGUGCGGGAUGACGGCCUUCGGGGUGUAAACCGCUUUCAGCCAUGACGCGGUAGUGGCAGAAGAAGCACCGGCUAACUACGUGCCAGCAGCCGCGGUAAUAC
rnacentral:rRNA from 1 species